UACAGAGACUGCAAGCGUUAUUCGGAUUCACUGGGCGUAAAGGGUGCGCAGGCGGUCGGGUGUGUCAGAUGUGAAAUCCCGAGGCUUAACCUCGGAACUGCGUCUGAAACUACUCGACUAGAGUACUGGAGAGGGUAACGGAAUUCACGGUGUAGCAGUGAAAUGCGUAGAUAUCGUGAGGAACACCAGUGGCGAAGGCGAGUCCCUGGACGAUACCUGACACUGAGGCACGAAAGCCAAGGGAGCAAACAGG
rnacentral:rRNA from 1 species